AUGCGAGAGGACGCUUGAUACCGGGGCCCCGUGGGGCUCAAAGCAGCCGUGUGGGACAUUCAAGACAGCUGGCGGUGAAGACUCACGAAUAGAUGCUAAGUGGCAUCCUGCGUGGUUACAACAAUCAUAUGAUUCUGGGGGUCUGUUUCUGUCUUUGGUUAUCUAGCUGUAUGAGUGUUAAAUACCUGUCAUAAAGCUAGAUAACCGAAUGUAGGGAUGACUUCCGUAAUUAACGUUGAGAUAGAAAGAAGGAGAGAAGACUCUGGCCUUUACCUAUAAAAGUCAAAGAGUUUCAAUUAGCGCCAUUCUUCCUGAAAAGAUGGCGGAAGCAUUGUUAAGAGAAAAAGAGGACGAGGUCAUCGCGCUUCCUCCGCCCUCUCUUUUUUUUUUUUUUUUACCCAGAAGCGAUGGGAUGCCAUCUGCACUGCCCGUGAGAGACACUGUGCCGUGCCAGGAGGCAGACAAAGACCUUGGCCCAUCUUCGGAUCCUGGCUGCGGUUGGAGGAGCCAUCUUGGGAGAUGUUGCCGUUGAUAUCUAAAAUGGCUGGGCUGACGUACAAGAAUGAAGAUGACAAGCUGUGGAACCAACUCCCGACUGCCCAAAAAGUCGUCACCAUUUUUUUGUUGUUAGAGAUAGCUCAACUCAAAUCUACGGGACGUUUAUUUAUUUAUUCAUUUAUAUUGCACUUUCUUAGCAUGUGAGAUAUGUUGAUGUUAAAAUCUGCAAAUAAAAAGGUAAAACUUG